AUAAAAAACUAUUGAGGAUUUACGGCGAACUUUUUUUUUAUUUCCACCAAAGACAAGGUACGAGGAACGUUGUAUAGGCGUAUUACAUUCUCGAGUUAUUGGACAGAGCGAAAUUGUUUUCAUCGACAUAAAUUAUGAAAAAACUAAAAUAUUCGAACAUUUCAUAUGUAUAUGAAUACCUCGACACGAAUCUAAAAAUUUUGAAAACGUUACGGUUUUAAAUUCUAAUAUAAACAACCAGUUCAAAUUGCAUGUAUCUUUAGACAUUUAAUUUAGAGUAACACCACUUACACGAAAAAUCAAAACCGAUAUUAGGUAGGUAGGUACGUAAAAACUCACGUUUUCCUAAAUUUUUUUUUUGUUUUUCCAGGCGCUUUUGGCGACUAGGCUGGUACUGUUCAUUUCGACAUGCCCUAUGCACCUACUAGAUUCACUUUCCCACAGGAAAAGAUGAAAAGCGAAGCAUUAUUUCGACUACCUACUUAUCGUGUAGGUAGGUACACCGCCCCAAAUAAUAAAAAUGUAUUGCGCAGAACGUACAUUCGCUAAUAGUUUCAAUAUAGUUCGAUUCACUCUAAUUUUUAAACUAACGGUGCUAAAUGUGACCCGCUCAUCGUACAUUUUCUAUAUAAGACGUAGACAAUAAAAUGCCCGUGUUACGUCUUAAAUCGUGGAGCUGCGUCGUUCGCGAAGUUUCAAACAUUUAAUGCCCGCGAUUCUGUCUUAUCACCACGUACCACGAAAUAGUAAAAGUCGUUAUCAAAUAAAUAACAACAAAACAUUAUUAUUUUUUCAUAUGCCGACUUUAAAUUUGACUCGCUCGCGAAUCGCGAUUAUUUGAAAUUUGAACAAAAAAUACAGACAACAGAACAGUCGUACAGAUUUCUAUUCAUACAUUUUAAUAUAAAAUCGCCAUGGAUAAGUGUAUUCCUUUCAGUAAAACAUCCAAAGUAUCGUCUCGCCACAUUACGUACAUUUUCAUUUAUUUCCGAAAAAUCAAUGAAAUAGAAAGAAACGAUGGCUAAAAAUGUUCGAAUUAAAUGAUUGUCGCAAUAAUUUCUACGUGGCAUAGUAUCUGCGGCAGGUAAUCAUUUCACAAUAAUUAGUGAUGGUAAACAAUGCUCAGUAAAUUAGUAAACACGGUGUCACAGACUGUCUCAAAACAUAAUCCAAACCACUUGUCUGGGAUAGAGAAGUAAAAUAAAUGUUAGUGAUUCACGGCAAUAUUGGUACUGCUCUGCGCACGACUAGUAAAUCGCAUCUAAGAGAAAAUUUCCAACGAUGAGCUAGAAGUAAAUGAACAGACGAAUAAAGGAUUUAGAGGCCAUGAUUUUAAUUCACCCAGAAAAGCCUUGGAUACCCAAUAAUGUCUAAUUCACACACACUUAUUUCACACAGGGGAUUAUACUCAUAAUGUUUUUCAAAACUGAAAUAUAUUACGAUAUGUACCACAUACAAGGAACUGGGAAGUGGAGCCAAUGCACUGACAGAUUUUCAGACGUUGACUUUCUUGGAGAUAAUUCUACCGACUCAGAUGAAGCCAUACAAUAUUUGAGAGAAUUAUGAAACUUAAAGGUAAUACAAUUUUGCUGACAAAGAAUCCAAUUUUAACAACGCAGAGGGCCUCAACAUAUUUAAAUUGCAAAGAAACACAUAACUAAUUUGGACAUUGGUAUCUUUUCUGAUGCAAAAGUGCAUCUAGUUGGAUGCGUUAAACAGGUCGUCGAGCACGUUCCCAUUGACAACGAGGAAGGACAAACUUGUUUGAAAAAAGAGUAUGCAAUUACCAAAAAGCUUCAGUGGCUGUUAUUAAAAUUCUUCAACCAUCGACAAUGGACAUGAUUGAUGAAGACUUUUAAACUAGGUAUAUUCUGAUAGGUACCUAUUUCUUUUAAUUUGUGUACUUAUUUUACCUAUGUUUCCCCCCACCACCCAUCAGAAAGUAAUUAGUUAGUUUAUUUAACAAAAGAAAACUGUACCUACUCACUGUGUUUGUGAAUAAAAUUAUUUUGUCAAUGACUAAUUUAAGAAAACUUUAUUUUUAAAUUGUAUAAUGAAAAAA